rfam:Schistosoma mattheei strain Denwood, Zambia genome assembly, scaffold: SMTD_scaffold0000531
ACCCAGCCAGCGAGUCGCAAAUAGGACGAAACGUGCGUCCUGGAU